rnacentral:rRNA from 1 species
UACGUAGGGUGCGAGCGUUAAUCGGAAUUACUGGGCGUAAAGCGUGCGCAGGCGGUUAUGUAAGACAGUUUGUGAAAAUCCCCGGGCGUCAACCUGGGAACGUGCAUCUGUGACUGCAUAGCUAGAGUACGGUAGAGGGGAGUGAAUUACCGCGUGUAGCAGUGAAAUGCGUAGAUAUGCGGAGGAACACCGAUGGCGAAGGCAAUCCCCU